UGUUAUUCCCGGUGUUUUGGUUAUUCCCGGUGUUGUUUAUUCCCGGUAUUUUCCAUGGUUUGGAGCCAUGGCUGGGCUGGGCAGGUGGCUGCAAACCCAGCCCCAGGCGCUGUUUUCUCCCCUCUGAAUCAAUAUUGAUGUUUUUUGGAGCCCGACGUGGCCGAUGGCAACGCUCCCCCAUCCCUGCAGGUUUCAGUGAUACUGGGAUCGGGAGAUGAGCACGGGAUAAAAUUAACUGGGAUGAAGCAAGUGGAUACCAGAGCGGUAGCUCCAACCCAGUGCUCCGGUUGAGCCACAACCGUGUUUCACAACCGUGCUUAAAAUGGAUAUUUUUGUAGCAUAGUCAGGGCCUAAAACAGCCCUGCAAAAUUCUGCUCGCCCACGCGCCUGGCGUGAGUAAUUUUCUUUUGAUGGCACUGACACCGCGCCUGGCUCCGUGCAGGAUGCAGAGGGCCCCGCUCCCAGGAGCUCAUCCCUUUGCUGCCAAACUUCAGGAAGGUGCCUUGUUUUCCCUGGCCUGACCUAAAAUCCAGAAAAUCGAUGUUUACACCUCUUUUUUUUCCUCUUUUUACACCUCUCUUUCCCUUCUCCCCCGCUGCAGCGGCUCACCCUGACAUCCCUGCGUGGCUUAAAGCCUCCAGAUUUCCAGGGAUGGGGUUGAAAUCCAGGUGGGAGCGCUCACCUGCGGGAUGGGCGCGUUCAUUCCCGAGGGAUCCCAUCCCCACAUCCCUCCCAUCCCCACCCCAUGACCUCCUCUCUCAUCUCCACGAGGAGAGCACCCAAACGGGGAUUUGGCGCAGAGUCUCCCUCGACAGAAG